AGCGAACGCUGGCGGCAGGCCUAACACAUGCAAGUCGAACGAAGCCUUCGGGCUUAGUGGCGGACGGGUGAGUAACACGUGGGAACGUACCUUUUGGUUCGGAACAACUCAGGGAAACUUGAGCUAGUACCGGAUGAGCCCUUAGGGGGAAAGAUUUAUCGCCGAAAGAGCGGCCCGCGUUAGAUUCGCUAGUUGGUGAGGUAAAGGCUCACCAAGGCAACGAUCUAUAGCUGGUCUGAGAGGAUGAUCAGCCACACUGGGACUGAGACACGGCCCAGACUCCUACGGGAGGCAGCAGUGGGGAAUCUUGCGCAAUGGGCGAAAGCCUGACGCAGCCAUGCCGCGUGAAUGAUGAAGGUCUUAGGAUUGUAAAAUUCUUUUACCAGGGACGAUAAUGACGGUACCUGGAGAAAAAGCCCCGGCUAACUUCGUGCCAGCCGCCGCUGUAAUAC
rnacentral:rRNA from 1 species